AAAAAGUGAGAAAAGAAGCCAACUUCUUCUUCUCUCUAAUUCAGUGGUUUACAAAAUAAGGGGACUAUAAACUGUCUGUUACUAAAAACCUGGGGUGCUUCUGCCUGCUCUUUUUUACUACAACACAAAUACAAAAGGGAUGUGUCUUAGGUUUGUCUUUUUAAGUGAUUAUCCCUUUGCAAAACUUAAUGUUACUUUAGCCUGUGUUUGUUAAAAAGCAGGUAAAGAAGCAAACUCCUUCUCUCUGAUCCACUCACUCACAAAGGCUGCUUUGCUAACAGGAGCUUUGCUGCAGCUUCACAUUGUUUUUACUAAAAAAUAACUCAUUAGUUUAAAACCUAGGGAAAAAACUUUAAAAAAUGGUGUGUUACUAAAAGCUUAUGGACAUAACUUUUAUAAAAAGCCCCCUGUAAAAGGGCUACAUGGCAGAAAAAUGCUGGGGGUUCUGUUUCUUUAGAUAAGAAUAAAACAGUUAAAAGGAAGGGGAGGGGGGAAAGGAGGGAGUCGGCUCUUGUUUAAAAUCUUGGGACUCUAGGAUUGGUUCAGGAAAAUGAAUUCUAUGAUGCUACUGUAAAACCACCUCUGACUGGGCCGAUCCAAAGGGGGUGAUAACAAGUCUGAGAGGAUCUGAACCAGAAAAGUUGCCUCAUUCUACAGAAAGACGUAAAAGGAUUGAUAGCCAGUUUGGAAGAGCAAGAGCAUGUUAAAUCAUAAAAAUGAUACUGCUGAAAUUGAUCUCGUCUGCAAGAAAAACAAGAGUCUCCAACCUGUACUACUAUGGGAAGAUGGAACUUGACUGAAAUUUCCCAUUUCAAACCCAAAUUUAAAAGUAAAGAAAAAAAUGAAUGCAUGCUAUUAAUAUUUUAGGUUCUUAGCCACAGAAGAGUAUUUUUAAAAUAGGAAUAUUCUCAUAAUACAACAACAUACUUAAAUUAAAUUAAAUUAAACACUGACUUAAGGUAAUUAUCCAUUUUGAGAUAAUAAGCUACAGGGCUAACGUUGUGCAGCUGGCCUAGAUCUCUGUGCUGUGAUCACUUGGCUCUCAAUACGGAAAACGAGAGAGAUUCCAGAAGACUGGAAAAGGGCAAAUACAGUGCCAAUCUGUAGAAAGGGAAAUAAGGACAACCCAGGGAGUUACAGACCAGUCAGCUUAACUUCUGUACCCGGAAUGAUAAUGGAGCAAAUAAUUAAGCAAUCAAUUUGCAAACAUCUAAAAGAUAAUAAGCUGAUAAGUAACAGCUUAUUCAGGCCACUCAAACUAAUGUUGAGGGGCUGGCACAGCUGAAUUAGCACUUGGGUAGGACAAUGACAGGUUAAAGCCAUCUCUGCAACUCCUUUCCUCCAAGUUCUUCUGUAUUCUCCUAUGCCUCGGCAGAGGAUUUUGUACAAUGGGGUUAUCAUUUUUCAGUCUAGUAUGCAUUUUCUGAGCAAAUGUGAUUCCCAGACAUGACUCUAAGUCAACUCAAAUGUCUACAGUAAGGAUAUCUUAAUAUACUGAAAGACGGGAUUAGUGCUUGAAAUUGAACAUUGACAAUUAGGAAAUGUUUGCUUAAUGUGAUUUUAUAGCCUAAAUGCAGAGGUUCUCAACCUUUUUAUUUCUGACCCCCCCUCCCAUGCUAUAAAAGCUCUACAGCUCACUUGUGCCAUAACAACUGUUUUUCUGCACAUAAAAGCUAGGACACACAUUAGUGGGUAGUAAGCAGGGCAAUUGCCCAGGGCCCCAUGCCACAGGAAGACCCACAAAGCUAAGUUGUUAAGGCUUUGGCUUCAGUCCUGGGUGGUGGGGCUCGGGGCCCCGGGUUUCAGCCUCAUGCAGUGAGGCUUCAGCUUUCUGCCCUGGCCUCUACUGAGUCUAACAUCAGCCAUGCUUGGCAGACCCCCUGAAGCCUGCUUGCAGCCCCCGCAGAGGGCCCUGGACCCCUGUUUGAGAACCACUGGCCUAAUGUAUGACACUUAAAACACAUUAAACACAAAAGUGAUAAAACUAUUUCUCACCCUAUAGUUUUUAAAAAUAAAAUAGGAUCCACGUA